UUGUUAUUAAGCCCUAAGGUGGCUAAAUUGGUUAGUUUGCUAAAGUAAUCAGGGAUAGGACCAGUUAGGUUGUUCCAAUUAAGGAGGACAAAUUUAAGGUGAGGCAGUCUUGCAAUGGCUUGAGGAAUAGGACCUGUUAGGUUAGGUAGGAGGCGUAAAAUGAGGGUCUCGAGGUAAGGUAGAUCGGCGAUGAGUGGCGGUAUUGUACCGACAAGAUCAUCAGCACCAUCUAUCUCAAGGAAGUUGACACGAUGGAUGGUUGUUUUUGGGAUUUUCUUGCAUGAGACUAUACGCCAUUUGCAACAGUCUGUGUGUGGGAUCCAGGUUGAGAAGAGGCUUGUAUUGUGGAAGUAAUCUUUGAUCUUGAGGAGGACUUUUUCGUCGUCUGGGUGGCAGAGGCGUGGGCGUGGUGGUGGAGAAAGAGAGAAGGUUAAGGAAGGGAGGAAGAGGAGGAGGAGGAAAAUGGACUUUAUCUCCAUUUUUGUGUAGUAACUUUGGUGGUUGUUGAUGUAGGAGUUAGAAAUAUGUAGAGGGUAUUUAUAGGCUCCAAAACUCCUUUAUACAAAGUACCUUGCAUGAAUCAUGUAGUUAACUGUAAUUGAAUGUCAGUGUUUAAAUCUUGAUGCAAAUUCAAAUGUAGAGGAAAAGAUAAGGAGGCAAGAGUUUCUUCUUUUUCAAAUGUCAGAAAGAAGAAGAAGAAAAACCCACGAGGUAAUAUAAAUAUCAUUUUCAUUGAAUGCGUGAGAAACGUGGGAACUAAUCGACCUCCGUAGACUGGUGCAUAUAACAAAAAUAUGACCAUCUUCUUGUAGAAUAGCACUAGAGUCUAGAAAAUGACCACAAGGUGCAUAUUGCCGUUGACACAUAUGCAUUGGCAAAGAAAUACGAGUAAUUUAUCCAAAUGUUCUUCGGUAGUUAACUGCCGAAUUAUGGAAUCGGCUGCAGUUAACUAUCGAGGAAAACUUCGGCAGUAAACAAACUACUGAGGAAAACUUCGGCAGUAAACUACUGAGGAAAACUGAAAACUUCGGCAGUUAAUUGCCGAGGAAACCUCAAACCUGUUUAUUUUUUUUUUAUUUUUUUUUCUUCACAAAAACCAUAAAUUGUCAUUAAUAAUAUUUAUUGAUUUAGAAUGUUUCAAUCAUUAUUUUGUACGUUUGAAACAAUUGCACUAGUUUUUAUGUGGGAGUGUUUUAGCAAAGCUACACCUUAAGGUGUGUUUAACCACUUUUUAGUUAUUCACUUGCUAAAAUACUCAUUCUAAAAAAUAAGUGGGUGUAUUCUAGCAAAUGCCUAUAGGAUUUGCUAGAACACACCCACUUAUUUUUUUAGAAGGUGUGUUAUAGCAACAUACACCUUAAGGUGUAUUUAUUAACUUUUUAGUUAUAACUUGCUAAAACACUCCCACAUAAAAACUAGUGGGUGUGUUCUAGCAAAUCCAUAUAUAUAUACACACACACACACACACAUAUGAAUAUCAUUUAAAUCUUGACCAAAAAAAUAAAGAGCAUUUAAGUACUCAAAAAACAUUUCAAUAAGUGUAAAAAUUAAGCAUUUGAAUAUUGUUUUGCAAAUUACUUAAAUAAAUAAAAAAUCUUUGUGCACAAUUAUUUUAAUGUAGAAAAUACAACAACACAUUAUUCCUUAAAAAUAAAAAUAAAAACAGGUUUGAGGUUUCUUUGGCAGUUAACUGCCGAAGUUUUCAGUUUUCCUCAGUGGUUAACUGCAGUCGGUUCCAUAAUUCGGCAAUUAACUGCCGAAGGGCAUUUGGAUAAAUUACUCGUGUUUCUCAGCCAAUACAUAUGUGUCAACAACAAUUCUCAUAAAAAAUAUAUUAAAAUGAUGGUUCCCAAUAGUGUGUUUGAUCUCCUAACAAAUAAAGGAUAAGACAACUUCAGUUGUACAAUUGGUUUAAAGUAACAUGAUAAGAUUGGAGGUAAGAGACACGACAAAAACUAAAAUUAUCAUCUCUCAAUAAAUCAUAACACAAUUUUUUGUUUCAACUACGGGUUGUCGGAAAUACAAAAAUAGUCUGUUAUCCAUAAAAACUGUAUAAGAUCACAUAUUGUUCAAUAUCAUAUAAGUUUAUCAUGUAUUAUUCUGCCUUAUCUUUUGUGUUGUUUGAUAUUGAUCUCCAAUUUUACUCUUCAAAUGGGUUCAAUAAUUGUUAGGGCCCAGUGUAUAGAGGAAUGUCUAGCCAAAGACAAUUGAUACAGCCAAUUGCCAAAGUUUCAACUAUGCAUUAAAUGCAUGAUGUAAAAUCUUCUUCUACAGCGAGGCUAUGCUGUAGCUUGCGGGUUGAUAUCUUUGAAAAGCAAAUGUGAUGCAGAUUUCACAUUUGCCUUGCAAGAUCAUUUGACAAAGGAGAAUUGAAUUCAGAUUACCACAUUUCAUAUAUAAAUAGAAGCCUUGGCAUGUGAAGAAAAUUAUCCAAAGCUCAAAGAAAAUACAAAGCUUUAGUAUUGAAGCAUAAGUGAAGAUACAAAGUUUUUUGUGUAGAAGUGUGUGAUCAGAAAAUUAGAGUGUUGGGUAAAUCCAGAAAAAGGGGAAAAAUAUAUCGGGUAGGUAUUAUCUCUAUAACUUCUAGGCGCUAUAAAAUAAUAACAUUUGAAUAGGAGCGAGUCUCAUUAGAAACACUAUAUUGUAUCUCUUUUCCGUGUAAGAGAGUGGAGAAAAUAUUGUAAUAUUCUUAAUAUAGUGGAAUAUUUUUUGGAGUUUUUCCUAUCGUUUUUUCACGUUAAAUAUUGUAAUAUUCUCAACUGAAAUUCCAAUAUUACCCCUGCGUGAGUUAACUUACGCUAGUGUUAAUUUUUGCGUGACUUAAGUCACACUGCGUGAGUUAACUCACGUUGCGUGAUGUUUGAAAGGCAGGCAUAACCUCAUUUCCUCACUUCCCAUCUAAAAUCCUAAAAUCUCUCUUAAAUCACCAAAAUCCGAAAUUCCAUCAACUUUAAAUCAAACAACACUCCAAUAACAAGUAAGUUUUCAUAAUCCAACACCAUUAACCUUUUUAUGUUGAUAUAUUAGAUUUUUUCUCUUAUAUUUGAUUUGUUUAGUUUUAAGGUUUUGUUUAAAUUUUGAUUUAUUUUGCAAGAAAUGAUACAAUGUUACAUGUAAAUUACUUAUAUUGCUUAAUUGUUUAGAUGUUUGCAUGUUUAUGUUGUAGUUAUGAGUUUUAUGGUUUAUGUAUAAUUUGCACUCCAAGUGUUUGAUGAAAUGUUUGAAUGAGUUUUUCAUUGAUUGUUUAAUUUUUUAUGGUGUAGGUUUGAAACAAUGAUUGAUUCGUUCAGUGUUUGCAUACGCUUCAAUGGUGGAAAUCCUCAAAUGUUCAAGGUUCGGUACAUUAAUGUCACGUUAAAAUGUCUUAAGGAUCAGCUGGAUGAAAUCAACCAACGACUCAACCCCGGAGACACAAGGAGGGUGGAAUACAUUUGGUAUGAACGUUCAACGUUGGACGACGGGAGGAUAACGUUCAAUCGGCUAGAAUUAAAGAACGACGAUGAUGUGAGGAGCAUGUUCUCGAUUUUUUAGCAGCACAACAUGUUCCCAUGGAUGGAUAUGUUUGUCACAUUGCUGAGAUCGCCUGAAGAUAUUCUCAACAGUUUGGUUCCGCCUGAAGAUUAUGAUUAGGUAGCAUCAUUAUUAUGUAGUGUCUUUAUUUUGUUCGAAUUUAAGUUUAAUUCUUGUUUGUUUUCUGAAGAUGUUGGUAUUGAAGUGUCGUAUACUUAGGGUAAAUGUUUUCAAGUCUGUUUGAAAACCCAAAAGAAUGAAGAGAACACAACAUGUGUUUUGCAAAAUCAGUUAUAUAGGUUUUCACAUCGAAUUUCUUCGUAUAAGAUGAGUGUCACGGAUGGAAAUGCACCUCUAAGGGGUUCUUUUUAAUUGGAUCGUGCUCCUCUGUCAAUUGAAACUAGUCAGUUGGCAGGGCAGUAAGAUUCAUUUCAAAACAACCUCUUGGAAUGCUUUCCUUUAUAUGACGACGGGAAUACACUUCUAAGAUGUUCUUUGAAUAAGAUCGUGCUCUUGUGUCAAUUGAAACUUGUCAGUUGACAGGGUAGUAAGAUUCAACUCAAAGCAACCUCUUGGAAUGCAUUCCUUUCUGUGAUGACUCAUCUUAUAUGAGGGAAUUCGAUGUGAAAACGUAUAUAGAUGAUUUUGAAGAAUACAUGUGUUGUUCUCUUCAUUCUUUUGAGUUUUCAAACAGACUUGCAAAUUUUUACACAAAGUAUACGACACUUCAAUUCCGACAUUUUCGGCAAACUUUCAAGAAUUAAAUUUAAAUCCAACAUCAUGAUAAUACCACAUAUAUUUAAGGAGAAUGUAAUGUAAUGUAAUCGAUUUUGUGUAAAUGUGUCACUUUAAUCAAAUUUAUUUAUUUAAUUCCUAAUUUUUAUUCGAAUUCACGCUAGGUUUAAUUAUUUUUUAUUCGAAUUUAUUUAUUUAAUACACAGCUUUUAUUCAGAUUCACUUUAUUCGAAUUUAUUUAUUCAAUACGCAAUCAUAAAAUAAAUGCAAAUAUAAACAAAAAUAAUAGACAUAAAAUCUCAUUUUAAUAAUAUAAUAGAUACAUAUACAAUGAGGUAAAACUAAAUCAGGGGUAAAAAUAAAACCAAAAGAAAACCAAUCUCCGUGGAGUAAAACUAAAUCCCCAAGAAGGUUGUCCCAGUUGUCCAACCUUCUUGGGGUAAAACUAAUUCUGCUUCUUUUUACCCCAAGAAGACUUGUCACUAAUCAACUCAAGUUCAAAGCAACCUCUUGAAAUCUUCAAAGAUGCCUCUUUCUAUGAAAGGCCAAAGAUGGAAAAACAACAUUGUUGUUGUAGAAGGAAGAGGAGGAGAGUGAGGAGGGGAGAAUCUGAGAAAUGGUGAAUGUUGGAAGGGUAAUUAUAGGUGGUUUAGGGUAACAUAGGUUUUAACUACACUAAAUGCAGUCAAAAAACGUGUAAAAAUGUGUAAAAAAACGUGUAAAAUCAAUUAAGAAAAGUCAAGAACCGUCCAAAAAACGUGUUCUUGGUGCAUGAAUCACCGGCCAAGUUGCGUGAGUUAACUCACGCCACCGGCCAAAGGUGCAUGACUUAACUCACGCAUGGGCAUUUUAGGAAUUUCAAUUGGGAAUGAACAAAAACAGUUGGAUAAAGAGCAGAAUUCUUCAUUUUUAUCGCUACCGUUGCGCUACAAGAUCCAAUGUCUAUUGGAUUUUGAAAUUUUAAUUUACCCUCGUGUUAAGCUCGUUGAGCCCAACAUAACUAACCAUAAAUAGUAUAUUGUCGUAUAUUUGAAAUAUUUAAAAAGUAAUUUGUUUAUUAUUUUAUUCUGAUUGGUUUAUUUAGUUUUAUUUGAAAAUUAAAUUUAUUGACUUAUGUAUUAUGCAUUAGAAGCUCAAUUAGACCGAGAGUAAAAAUGUGUUUGAGGAAAUAAAUAUAGUUUAAAUAUAUUAGAAUUUGUGUAAUCAAAGUCUUAAAAUAUAUAAAGAAAAAAUAUUAACGUAAAAUAUUUUUUAAUUAUACUCUGGAAUACUCCAUCCGGUCCUAUUUACAAGAGAAAAUUGACUGUUUAGAUACAUUGAAUAAUGUAUGUAUUAAAUCAAGAACCUAAAUCAAAUACAUAAAUUAUUUAAUGUAUCUAAAAAAUAAACUGUCUCUUGUAAAAAGGACAGAAACCGAAGAGAGUAUUAUUUAACAUGACCCUAAUACAAAAUAUGAAAAUCAAAUGAUAAGAUAAAGAGACAAAUUCAAUAGCCUUCACGUGGCCAAAGAGUGAAAAUCAAAACAAAUCAUUGGCACAUUGAAAGCGUGCCAAGCAAACAAUAACUAGGAGGAUCCACAUCAUCCAAAAAGGAGGGGAUCAAUUUUUUUUUGUUGACUUUAUAAUUAGGAGGAUGAUAAAGUUGAUUUUAGGCUUAAAUACUUUUUGGUCCCUUAAGUAUUUAAUUGAUAAAGUUUUUUUUUUAGUCUUGUUUUGGUCUCUUUUGUUAGGUUUUCGUUAGGGUUUAAAAAAAAAGUUAACUCCUGGACACGUGUCACCUUGUCAUUGGCUCUGAGGUUUUUUUUUUUCAAAAAAAAAUCCCAGAGCCAAUGACAAAGUGACACGUGUCCCAGAGUUAACAUGUGUCACCUUGUCAUUGGUUCUGGAAAUUUUUUACAAAAAAAAUAAAAUAUAUAUAUUAAAAAAAUAUUUUUUUUUAAAUUUUAAAUUUAUAUUUUUUUUUUGUAAAAAAAACUCAGAGCCAAUGACAAGGUGACACGUGUCCAGGAGUUAACUUUUUUUUAAACCCUAACGAAAAUCUAACAGAAAGGAUCAAAACGAGACUAAAAAAAAACUUAAAGUACUCAAACAAUCUUUUUUUUAGUUAAGGGAACAAAACAAUACCACUUAAAUACUUAAGGCACCAAAAGAGCAUUUAAGUCUUGAUUUUAAAAAGGGUUUUUCUAUCAUGUGCAAAUUUGCACAUAAUAAGAAGUUUAAAUAAGUAAUUUUGACUUGAAACUUGUGUUUUUUAUAUUAAAUAUUUAACUUUUAAUAAAUAAUUGUUGAUUUUCAACGAAAAGUUACUACUUUUAGUUGCCUUAACAUGUGCAAUAUUACACAUGUUAGACAAACCUUUUUAAAAAUAGGAUUAUCAAAAGUUAACAAUUAAAAAAUAGGAGGAUGAAAAUUGCAUUUAAACCAAAAAAUUAAUAUGUUCAAUGUAAAAUAUCUUUUUCUUAACUAUACUCAAAGUAUUAGUUAACAUGACCUUGAUAAAAAAAUCGAAUAUCAAAUGAAGAUGAUCAAGGCAAAGGGACUAAUUCACUAGCCUUCACGUGGCUAAAGAGUGAAAAUCGAAAGAACCACAUUGAAAACGUGCUAAGCAAACAAUAACACAGUUACGUACCACAGUAUACACUGUAAAAGGAGGCAAAAACAUCCACCAUAAAAGAUGCCUACUUAAAAGCUAUUGACAGGUCACACCAGACCAGAACGGUUAUAAGUGUUGUUCAUCAAUUCCGUCCAACAAGUUCCAUAUCAAGGGUCUCUUGAUUAUUUUUACAUAUUUAAAUGUUAACUUUUAACAUAUUAAAAAAAAAAAUCAUGUUAGUGUUUUUAGAGUAUUUGUUAAGGGUCCUCGUGAGCUUAACUCAGUUGUUAUGGAUAAUGCAUAAAUUAUAUAAGGUUCAGGCUUUGAGCUCGGUCACCACAAAAAAAUAGAGUAUUUGUUAAGGAUUCAAAAAAAGAAAUAAUGGAUAAAUUUAUGUAAAAAAAUUAGUUUUUAUUGUUUUAAUCUCUUAAGCUCAAAUACGUAUCAUGCACCGAGACUUGCUUGAAGAGAUACCGAUAUCCAAUAAAUAUCCUGCAACGAUACCUGCCUGAUGACGUACUGAUAUCUAAUACGUAUAUUGUAUCGAUACUUGCCUGAUACGCUUCGAUAUGUAUCAGGAGAGUAUCCAGAGAUUAAAUUUUUAUUUAAAAAAAAAAAAGAAUUGUUUGAUACUUUUCAAAUAAAGUGAGGAUACGCGAGGGAUAGACAGUGGAAAACUGAUAUGUGUAAUUGAAUAAGUAAUAUUGUUCUCUUUUCAUGAUAUAUUUAUAUUGUUAUCUUACAUCCGUUUGUGUUUUUUGUUUGUUUGUUUGAGAACGCUGCUAUUGUUGAUUGUUGUGUGAAGACAAUUUCAUUGUUGUGCCUUAUCGUUUUUCUAUGUCGGUUUGGUCUAAGUUUUGCGCCAUUUUUUUUUUGCUUUUGAGUUAUAGUCCAUAGUUUGCGUUUGAGUUUUAACAUGUAGGUUAAAUUUAAUUUUUUUAUUAAAGUAUCUCCGUAUCGGUGUCGUACCGUAUUAGGUAUCAGGGUUUCAAUGGCUUUAAUGCGUUCUUAAGAGCACUUGUUAGCAUUUUUCAAAAAUAAAAAUUAUGUAUUGAAAUUAAUCUUUGUCAAUAAAUACUUAUUAUUUAAGAAAUCUUUAAAAAUAAGCUAUUUUGAACAAGUUGUUUUUUGAUAAGAGGUUGAAAUAAGCUGUUUUGUAUACAUAAGCUGUUUUGGAUAAGUUGUUUUUGAAAAAGAUAUCGUAUUAAGCAGUUUUGAAUAAGCUGUUUUUUUGAAAAGAGGUCAUAAUAAGUUGUUUUGUAUAAAUAAGUUGUUUUGAAUAAGUUGUUUUUUAAAAAAAGAUCGUAAUAAUUUGUUUUUCAUAAGAUAAGUUGUUUUUUAAAAAGAGGCCGUAAUAAGUAGUUUUGUAUAAAUAAGUUGUUUUUAAAAAGUGAUUGUAAUAAUUUUUUUUUUUUUUUUUUAUAAAUAAGUUGUUUUUUAAAAAUAGAUCGUAAUAAUUUAUUUUUCAUGAGAUAAGUUGUUUUGAAUAAAUUAGAAGUUAAAUUACGAAGUAUAACAAUGUAUUGAUUUUAAGAGGAAAAAGGGUAAAAUAGUAAAAUUAUAACAUAAGCUCUCCAUCUCCUUACCUUAUUGGCUUUUUAACUCCCAAACAAGGGGAAGGUUUUUCCUCCUUUCUCCCUUCCCUCUCUUUCCUUCCCUUCCCCUCCUUAACCUUUCAUUUCCUUUCCCUCAAAACUCGCAAACAAAGCCUUAUAGAAUACAGUUGUUGUAAUUGUUCAGGUGAACAAGGUUGUAAGGUGCAGGAUUUGAGAAGUUAUCUCAAGCAUCUUAUUGGAAAAUCUCACAAGAUUGUGAGGAGUGGACUAACCCACAUUGGGUGAACCGCUAUAAAUUUUUGUGUGUUCUUCUUAUCUUCUCUUUACUCUUUACUCUUUACUUUCAGUAAACACAACACAACAUACACAUUUAAUUAUUUAAAGUGUUUUUGCACUAACACUUCAUAACGUUCUGAAGUCUGUCUGUCAACUUACCAUUCCAAGUUUACAACUUGAGAAUAACUUUUAAGCUACAUGUUUAAUUUUUUAAGGGUCACAAUUCAAACUCCCCUUCCUUGUGACUAUUUUAUCUACUUCAAUUUAUACAUAAGGAAAAUAACUGGCAAAAGACUAAUCUCACGAUCAACACUUCCUCCAUCUUGGACAACUGCUUGUCCCACGUUCCCAUUAAGGGAACCUCCUUGAAAUCAUGUCUUUCCCGCCUGGAAUGCUUUACUUCGACGAGAUUGUACUUGAACCUUGUUCCAUCGAACUCUUGAUCAUAGGCACUAAGCUUGCUAUCUUGUCGAAAUCCUCAAUUUAAAAUGAGCAAGUCUUCGAUUUCUGCAAAGUUAAAAGUCAACUAAAUGUUGACCACAUUAAAUGUAUAUACUCCUAUCUCAUAAGGUUUACCCACCAAAAGUGUCAACAAAUUUCUCCGAGGAAAUACUAUCUGAUAUGUAAUACACCCUCCAGUCAAUAUUAUAAGCAAAAAUCAAUAUUUUAGAUUAAUUUAUUAAAUGAUGUGUAUGGUCUAUGAUAAAGACUAUAUACAACAUUAAUUGAAUGAAUCUUAAAUGCAAAAUUUUACUUAUAAUAGUGACCGGAUAAUGUAUUAAGUUUUGAGGGUUUUUAAUGAUUAUCUCAGUUAUAGAACCAGAGAUUCAUAUUAUGCGUUGAAGUUUCUAGCACCAAUCUUAGAAAAAUGAUACAAGUAUGUUCUCUUUAUUCAUUAACUUAGAACAUUUUAUUUAUAGGCAUCUACUACUAUAAUAUAUUAAAGCUUAUGUCCACCAAAAUGUCUAAAGUAUCCUCAAUUAAACUCUUAAUAUCUCUAAUUUAAUGGACUUCAUCUUCAAUUUGUUAUUUAAUCAUAAGAAAAAACAAUUUAUUAUAGCAUAAAUAUAACAAAACGGUUUAUUCUCGCCUCUUAUAGGAAAACUGUACUUCCUCCUCUCUUAUGUCAUAGAAAUAUGAAAACAAUUUAUUCUCAUCUCUUUUAAUCUCUUAUAAAUUUUUCAAAUAGAAACACUACAGUUUUCAAAAUUUUAACAUGUCGGUAACAUAAAAAUUUACUCCCGUAGAUAUAAACGGUUAAAUGACUUCCGCCCUAUUUCUUUGGUGGGAAACAUGUAUAAAAUUUUGGCAAAGGUUAUUGCUAACAGUCUCCGCUUGGUGAUUGGUUCUGUCAUUUCGGACUCUCAGUCUGUUUUCACCAAAGGUCGUCAGAUUCUUGGUGGCAUUAUGGUGGCUAAUGAGGUUGUUGACAAAGCUCGUAAACGCAAGAAAGAAUUGUUACUUUUUAAGGUAGAUUUUGAGAAAGCUUAUGACUCUAUAGAUUGGGGUUAUUUAGAUGUGGUGAUGUUAAAAAUGGGGUUCCCAACUCUUUGGCGGAAAUGGAUUAAAUAAUGCAUUGGGACAACCUCAACUUCAGUUUUGGUUAAUGGGUCUACUACGGAGUGCUAUUUGGAGAGGGGAUUGAUGUAAGAUUUUUACAUGUCAUAAAACUAUUUACACGUAAGUAUAAUAGGAUCGUUUCCGCAGGGAGUUGCGCAUUUCAUAAGCAUUUUCACAAUAUUUGUCACAUUAAGUGUUUGGGUAUAAAUUGUUUGUUUGUGUGAAACUAUUUUCCUAUUCGACAUAAAAGUAAAACGAGAAGAGAUAGGGCUAUUUCGCUUGCGGUCAGAGACAUCAACCAAGCGUAACAGCUGCAAUCUCUCGAUCGAUUAUCGUAUUCUAGCUUUUUAAACGAUAUUAUCACAAUCACUCGACAAAUAUCAUUCAUGUCCAAAUGAUAUCGUUAUUUCUAAGAGGUUGUUUAAACAUCGAUUUCCCAAACAUUUAAAGGAUCACAAAGUCGAUUGGAUAGUUUAAUCGACGAUUUCCCAACCGAUUAAAUUACCCAAAAGCAUUAAGUUCUAGAUUAAAAGUGAUUAUCAAAUAUUAACAUCCAUGUCUAGAGUGAUAACUUAAGAUAGAUUGUUAUUCUAGUUCUAGAUUCAAAAGUAUGUGUCCAUAUCAUUUUGAAUCUCAAUAAAACAAUAAAAGCAAUAAUAACAACAAAUAUUGAAUAAAUAGCUAGAACCAUAUAUUAAAUGAUCAAAAUAUUACAUAUUAGCUUGUUUGAAUACCUCAAAACCACAAGAUUAGAUGUAGCUACAUAUGUCUAUGAUAGCUUUGCAAAGGAUGAAGAAAAGAUGAAGAUUCCAUGACAAGAUCCAUGAUGUCUCAACAAAUCUUGGCUUGAAUUUACUCCUAACUACCUUGCUUUGUGUUUCUCUCUCUAGAAAAGCCUUAGUAUCUCUUUAAAAACCAGAAAAAUGUAAAAGACAAUAAAGGAAUGGAAUGUUUGAAAAGAGAAGAGAAAACCAUUUAUAUGAGCCACUUCUGCGAAAUUUCGCUAAUAGCUAAAUAUUUCGCUAUUAGCGAAAUGUGUGAAAUAUGCCUCUGCACGAAUGGAGUUUGUCCACGUGGCCCUUAUCCACUUGAUCCUCCUGUGUUUCACCUCCAACUACGCUGAUAGCGAAACUCCCUGUGAGCUUUUCGCCAAUAGCGACAUUUUCGCUAAUGGCGAAUUUCUUGAAAUCCUGCUUCUGACUUCGCCCCCAGCUUCGCUGAUGGCGAAACUUCCUGUGAGAUUUUCGCUAUCAGAGAAAUAUUCGCUUUUAGCGACUUUCUUGUGAUCUUUUGGCAAUUCUUGCUCCUUGCUUGUAUUUUCUUGCACAAAAGGGUAAAGUAGGGCAUGCAAAGCAUAAAUGACAUUAAGGCACAUAAUUGAAGCUUUUCCAUCAAUAAUUUGUAAAACAACUCAUCAAACAUGCCUAAACUAACAUAUGAAUUAGAUCAUUUUGAGCACUUAUCAGGGAUUGAGGCAAGGCGACCCUCUUUCUCUUUUCUUAUUUCUUUUGACCGUAGAGGGUUUUCAUGUUUUGAUGGAAUCUUUGUCACUUAAUCAUUUUUUUACUGGUUAUAAGAUGAGUGGUAGUGAUCCGGUGGUGGUUUCUCAUCUUCAAUUUGCAGAUGAUACUUUAAUCUUAGGAGAAAAAUCUUGGGCCAACAUCUAAGUUAUGAGGGUUGUUCUUGUUUUGUUUGAAGCUUUGUUUGGGUUGAAGGUAAAUUUUUCUAAAAGCUAGUUGGUGGGGGUGAAUGUCUUUGGUUCUUGGUUAGCGGAAGCCGCUUUGGUGUUGAACUGUAAAGUUGGCUCUCUACCCUUUGUGUAUCUCGGCUUGCCUAGAGGUGGUAAUGUGCAACAUUUGGUUUUUUCGGAACCGUUGCUUAAUCGUAUUAAAUCUAGAUUGUCUGUGUGGAACUCCAAAUAUUUAUCGUUGGGUGGACGUCUGGUUCUGUUAAAGUAUGUCAUCUGUUCCUGUUUAUGCUCUAUCUUUUUUCAAGGCUCCAUCAGAAAUCAUCUCCUCUAUUGAAUCUAUUUUUUUUUUUUUUUUUUUUGGGGUGGGUGGGUGAGGACCACAUGAAAAUAGCUUGGGUUGAUUGGAACUCUGUUGGAUGGUGGUAGAGAUGUCUCUAAUUGGUGGCAUAAUAUAGCUGCCUUGCGUAGAGAAGGUUGGUUUGGUGAUAAUGUUAGUCGUUUGAUUAGAAACAAAAUUGGGACCUUUUUCUGGUUGGAUGUCUGGGUUGGUGGUGAGUCGCUUAGGAACAGGUUUAGCAGAUUAUUUGAUUUAUCGGUGUUUAAGGGGGUGACUGUGUUUGAGAUUUGGGUGGAGGGUUGAGGGUGGUGCUUGGAGUUGGAGGAGACGACUGUUGGCGUGGGAGGAGGAGUUGGUGGGUAAACUUACAUUAUUACUUCAAAAUUUAAAUUUGCAGGUUGACAAAGAGGAUAAGUGGCUUUGGAAUUUGGAUACUUCUCAUAUUUUUUCUGUUCGCAGUGCAUAUAAUUUUUUGACGGCUCAAACUUACGUUAAUUCACCGGUGGCAUCGACAUCGCUUUGGCAUAAGGAUACUCCUCGGAAGGUCGUGCUUUUUGCUUGGCGCUUGUUUCAAGAUUGGUUGCCUACAAAGGAUAACUUAUUUCGUCGUGGCAUUAUUGAUAAUACUUCUCGGAUGUGUGUUGCUGAGUGUGGUUCCUUGGAAACUUCAUCUCAUUUGUUAUUGCAUUGUAGCAGCUUUGGUUCUGUUAUGCAUUUUAGUUAUAGGUGGUUAGGUAUUUCUACGGUUACUGCUUGUUAUGUAGCAGAUCAUUUAAUUAAUUCAGCUAUGCUGGUGGUGGUGCUAAGGCACGACGAUCAAUUAUGCAGGUGCUUUGGUUUUCUACCGUGUGGAAAAUUUGGAAGGAAGGAAAUAACAGAAUAUUCAAUGCUAAAGAAUGCUCGAUCUUACAGGUGGUAGAUAAGAUUAAGUCACUUUCCUUCAUGUGGUUGAAGGCGAAAUUUUCCUCUCUUCCCUUAAACUAUCAUGGAUAGUGGCUUAGUCCAUUUACUAUGUUGGGCAUUAGCUAGUAGUUUGUACUUUCUUUUCUCUGGUCCUUUUUUUGGAUUUUCCAUGUAAAUAUUGUUAUGACUCUUUUGUUCUUCCUUGGUACACCUUGUGCUAGGAAGAACAUUUUGAUUUGGUAAUAUAUUCCAUUUUAGCCUAUUAAAAAAUGUGUAAAAUUCGCAACGGACGGGUGUAAAUAUUUAAUAGUGUUUUACUACUUAGAAUGAUUUGGUUUUGACACGGUGUAAAAUAGUGAUUUCGUAAAUAUUUAAUAAAAUUCACAACGGAUGCGGUGUAAAUAUUCCAUUUUAAUUUGAUUCGGUAAUAUAUUCCAUGAUGUAGGUUGGAAUUUGACCCUUCUUAGAGUGAACAACUUUUUUUUACUACCAAUUAUUAUCAGUUACUAUAGCUUGCUUGCCCUUGAGUUUUCUACAGUUUCCCACUAAAUGACCAAUACAACAAUGAUGACUUUAAAAUUAGGAAAUCACUUAUAUUCAAUCAAUGUCAACAAAGAAAGCAAAACCAUCUCUUUCAACAAGAGUACAUCCAUGGCAUUGUUCAUAUAAAUCCACAUUAACAAAAAUACGUGCAAACUGACACAUGAUAUGAUUGUUAGUUGCAAUAUCCAUAGACAAAUAUAUGGGACCAAACUUUAAUAAGUUUUUUACAUAGAUCAUGAAAACUCAAAGGAGUAUUGCCCUUUGCCAUGAUCAAAAGUCCAUGAAAUUUAUUUUUACAUUGACUCAAGCCAUCUUUGUAUGAUUCUUUUGGGAUCUUGAGGGACGAUGGUGGACGGUUCAUAGUCGAUAAAAAUCGGUUGUCGUCAUAUUCAUGCAAGACAACACAAACACAAAAAACAAAAAAAUGCAUAAACAUUAGCAAUCUGAAUGAGAACCCUUGAAACGUACAAAAAGACUCCACCAACCUUUGCAUGUACUAGUGAUAAUGCUUGAUCACUGUAUUAUAGCCUCUGCAAGUUGUAUGCUGCACCGAAUUGAACGUAAUUACACCAAUCCAAAAUUGUGGUUCUCAAUUGUGAAGGAUCAAUGAUAUUGAUCGAUUCGAGGUUGUAAGUGCCCUAACAACAAAAAUUACAAUAAUCGUUUUUUAGCUUCGCGAGGGAUAAGUGAUAUCGGUCAGUUGAUCAAAGUGAAAUGUGAUCGAUAGACUUGAUGGCCAAUGCCCAAUUCACAUUCAAAUCGCUAAAAAAUAACUCCAACUAAUCCAACUACAUUCUACAAAACUCUCUUUCUUUAUUGCUACCCUAACAGAAUGUCUUUGCUGGAAACUUCAACGGCACCGGUGGCGGUAGAUAGGAUCAGCAAUUUACCAGACGAUAUCCUGAUUCACAUUCUGUCUUCUUUUCCCACCAAACAAGCCUUUGUCACUUCAAUUCUUUCAAAGAGAUGGAAGCAUCUAUGGUGUUACGUUCCAGAUGUGGAAUUGGAAUUCGUCGAUGACAAAGCGGAAGAAGCCAAAAACUCCUUAUUCGACAAAUUCGUUUACUCAGUUUUGGUCUCGCGAAGUUGCGGGUAAACAACAAAAGAAGGCAAAUACACGUUUUUCCCAAUUAUGUAUCCACAGUUUCAUCCUGCAUGUUGAACACAGGAUGCAUUAUUGGGAAAGAAUGAUCCCUCAUCUGCCUUAUUCUAUCCUUACUUGUGCAACCCUCGUUGUUCUUAAGCUCGGUUUUCUCAAUGGAAACAGUUUCAAAUGCGGAGUUUGUACGGAUAAAACUACACAAGGUAUGUGUGAUUAAUAUUAUAUGCAUUCAUGCCAUUGAAAAUCAAUAAUGUGGGUUAUUUAUUUUUAAUACUCUCUUUUUUAAAUAAUGUAGUGUUAUCGAGGUUGCGAACUUCCUACGUUCCAUAAUUUGACUCAUUUGGUGAUCUGCUGUAAGUGCAUGUUUAGAUCAGCGGUGAGUUCGGUAGAAUUACUGGUGUUGCCGUCUAACUUUAUCUCUUUUAUGUACAGCAUUUGAAUAAGAGGACCGAAGAAAACCAAGAAGUGAGAAGCAUAACCAGAAAAUCAAAGGAAAAGUGCAUAAUCAUGUAGUGUGUGCUAUAAUAGUGUUCAAUGCUAACCAGCCUCAUUUUUUUUUGUUGGUUUCGACUUUAUUUUAUAAGUAUAAACUUAUUUCUUGCGAACUUUAUAUUAUACCUAUUUGUUGGUUUGUGUUUUGGACCUUUGGUUUUUAAUAUUCAUCAAUUGUGCAAUAUAUACUUGUCUUGUCCGUUUAUUCCGCACUACUAAUCGCAUUCUAAUACAAUUAACUGUAUACAAGUAUAUCUACACCAAUGUUUACCCGGGAUUCUUUACCAUAUGUUUACUGAUCCUGCCUUUCUCUACUCUUUUUCGACGUUAUAAAAUUUAUUGAAUAUACUUUCUGUUAUUGAAUGAGUAUAACAGAAAGUGGUGUAUUUUGUUGUAUUAUGCAGCUGAUAAUUUGUUGCAAUUAAGGUAUUUUUGAGCAAGAAAUGUUAUUUUCAUUGCCAUCAGAACAUGUGUUAUUUCUUUUGCUGAUGGAUAUGUCAUUCAUAUUUUGCUCAUCGCUACAUCAAAUUGGUGAAAGAGAAUCCUAACAAACUCUCGUUGAAGCUAGAUAGAAUCUCUCGUUGAAGCUAGAUAGAAUCUCAUACCACCCUUACUCUAAAAAAGAGUUCCACACCCCCAACAUUAUUACUAUUAUUUUAACACAUUUUCUUAUAAAUGCCCCAUGUUAUAUGAGGCCGAUAAAUGUGUAACCGAUUGAGUACUAAUUUCACUUACAAGGAGGCCCUUUCUUGAGCAAGUGCGAAGAGCUCUAUGGAGCCGGGACGGCCCUGCUUACAAGGAGGCAAAGGAGAACCACACAAGCCCUUAUUAUGCGAAAACGACGAUGGAUCAAACUCUUGCAACUUCCCUCCAACUGUCGGUAUAGGACCGAAAAGCUGGUUGUAGCUCACAUUGAAGUCGUACAACAAUGACGCUUGGCCUAACCAAGCUGGCAACUUUCCGUAUAUCAUGUUAUUUUCCAACCGUAAGACAAGCAAAUUCGAUUCCAGUUGUCCCACUGGCAUUACCACCUUAGAGAGGUCGAAUGACAACUUGUUUCGCGACAAGUCCAGAUGAGCCAACUCAGUCUUACUUUCCCCGAACAAGAAAGACGCAUCACCGGUCAACUGGUUCCCAGCAGCCUCGAAAAUACUGAAAUUAACUUUGCCCAACGAUCUUGGGAUUGGUCCGGAUAACAUGUUGUUGGACAAAGUGACCUGAGAACCGGCCUUGAAUGAUCCGAAGCUGUCCGGUAUUGGACCGGUUAAAUGGUUGUCGUACAAGUCUAGUCCUUGGAGUUUAGGAAGGCGGCCGAGGUAAGCAGGAAUUGGACCGGUUAAUUGGUUGUUAUUAAGCCCUAAGGUGGCUAAAUUGGUAAGUUUGCUAAAGUAAUCAGGGAUAGGACCAGUUAGGUUGUUCCAAUUAAGGAGGACAAAUUUAAGGUGAGGCAGUCUUGCAAUGGCUUGAGGAAUAGGACCUGUUAGGUUAGGGAGGAGGCGAAAAAUGAGGGUCUCGAGGUAAGGUAGAUCGGCGAUGAGUGGCGGGAUUGUACCGACAAGAUCAUCAGCGCCAUCUAUCUCAAGGAAGUUGACACGAUGGAUGGUUGUUUUUGGGAUUUUCUUGCAUGAGACUAUAC
rnacentral:lncRNA from 1 species